rnacentral:rRNA from 1 species
UACGGAGGGAGCUAGCGUUGUUCGGAAUUACUGGGCGUAAAGCGCGCGUAGGCGGCCUUGCAAGUUAGAGGUGAAAGCCCGGAGCUCAACUCCGGAACUGCCUUUAAAACUGCAUAGCUUGAAUCCGGGAGAGGUGAGUGGAAUUCCGAGUGUAGAGGUGAAAUUCGUAGAUAUUCGCAAGAACACCAGUGGCGAAGGCGGCUCACUGGCCCGGUACUGACGCUGAGGUGCGAAAGCGUGGGGAGCAAACAGG